AUACUAGGCCUAGUUAAAAGUUGAUCGCUUGCUAGCUAGCUAGCUAGCGCUAGCUGUACCGUAUAUAUUGGUAGUACGUAGGUACGUUACCCAUUCAUUGAUUUUAUGCUGGAUUUAAGGAUAUGGCAAAGUAAUGUCUCUGUCAACGUUAAAUUCUACGACUACGCUACUGAGCACAAUAUUCCUGAAUCGUAUCAGACGCAGACGCCGUCAUGAAGCCCAAGAACGACGUAGGAGAUAUUUUGAACACUUCCGAAGACGCCAGCGUGAAACUACGAGCUUGAUGGUUCUCCUCUUGUCGAUGUUCGACACAGACGACACGGAACGCAUCCCGCGGUCGGUCAGUUCGUUGCCCUAUUCCAUGCACUGGUGGAAUAACAUAGUCUUAGCAUCAUGGGACGAUCAAACGUGGCUCGAGAAUUUCAGGAUGACUAAAGAAACAUUCAGGUACCUUGUAGAAGAACUCAAACCCCACAUUUCAAAGAAAGAUACAAAUUGGCGUAGGGCCAUACCCGCAGACCAGCGUCUUGCUAUCGCCCUUUGGAAGCUAUCAACAAACAUAGGGUAUAAGACAGUAGCUGAAUUGUUUGGAGUUGGAACAUCAACUGUUCAUCUCAUCGUGGUGACCGUUGUAUCAGCCAUCAACAAUGUUUUGAAAAAUUAUAUUUCCAUUCCUACGGGCAAGAGAUUGCAGGAUUGUAUGGAGUGCUUUGAACACAAGGGAUUCCCCCAAGCUGUGGCAGCCGUUGAUUGCUGUCAUAUGCCCAUAUUAGCUCCACCCAGCAAACGAGAGUACAUCAACAGAAAAGGGUUUUCAUCCAUUAUACUUCAAGCGGUCAUUGAUAGCUUUGGACAGUUCAUUGAUUUAGACAUAGGAUGCCCUGGUAGCAUGGAUGAAGCAGAAGUGUUUAGAAAAUCAAAAAUUUCUACAAAGGUGAAAAAUAAUACCAUCUUCUGCGUACCACCCAAGGUCAUUGAAACCACUUCCAUUCCUGCCUUGAUGCUUGGGGCUGAACCAUAUCCACUCAUGCCAAACCUUAUGAAACCAUACAAUACAGAAUUAACACUAACAGCUGCACAGAGAGUGUUCAAUCAGAGACUAAGCUCUUGCCAUGGUAUAGUUCAACAGGCCUUUAAGCGUCUUAAAGGGAGAUGGUGUAUCCUUGAUAAUAUGAUGGACAAGUUUGAAAAGGCCCCCUCUCUAGUCCUAGCAUGCUGCAUUCUUCACAACAUUGUAGAAAGUAAACGUGAGCCAUUCCUGGAUGAGUGGACAAAAGAAGAUGUUUUCUCUGUGCCACAUAGACCAGUCCAGGAUGAUGCUAUCUGUGGAACAAAUGCUACUUCCAUCCGCAAUGCACUUACUCUACACUUUAUUGAUAAAGGUACCACAGAGUAGCCAUUGUCAAACUGGCAAAUUUACUGCCAUUUCACAAGGAAAAAUGAACAGGUAGGUGUCAAAUAAAGCUGUUCGUAAGUUACAAGCGAUUUCAUGAACAACUGGUGAUUCUUUCUUGUGGUAACAGGUGAUAUAUACACCAUAUUUUCAUUGGGUUCGAUUUAGCGCCGAAGAAAGGCUCACCAGCAACUUGUCGUUCUUAAAGUCACUCGUAACUUACAAAAAAUUUUACGAAACACUUAUCUAUUCAUAUAAAGGCAAGGAAAUGAAUGCAUGUUGUAAAGUGUGCAUCAACAUAAACUAUUGAAUGUGGUCUUUUCCAGUUUUCCAUAUUUCAUUUUUAUUAUUGCAUAGAGGUAAUAGACCAUUUAGGUAGUCCAUGCUAUCAUUGUUCAAACCAGUCUAGACUACAAGUGCACAUGUGUACACAUGCAUAAAGUAAUAAUACACUUUUUUUACAUUGAACUGAAGGAGCAUAAUCUGCAUUGAAAUUUCAAACAUGCAGAUGGUGUGUAUUAAUGACUGCUGCCCAGAAUGUUAUACUAUCGUUUGUUGCUAAUUUACAUGCCCACCCACAGUCAGGCGGCAGGUCCCAAGAAAGUGGCUUCUUUCAUCCAAGUGAUAUUCAUGACUUGAGAUGUUUUGCAUAUUUAAUGAGCUUGAUGCGGACCAAAACACCUCUUUUCAUUCGGUCAUUGCUGCUCUAAUUGUGCAUCGAAUUUCAUAAAUUUGGUAUCAUUGUAAAGAAGAAGAAUUAUUCUUUCAGCUCAUGUGUUUAGAUUUGUUCAAAGAUUUUGUAAUAUAGGUUAAAAUUUUGAUCUAAAAUAUGCUACAAAAUAAUUAUUUUCACCUGACAAAAGCUGCUAUUUUCACACUUUAUUUUUUGUGAUCUUGACCCGAUUAAAAGGUGCCGCAUAUCAAGAGUGGCAUUGUGAGAAAGUACAGAAGUUCAGCUUUAUGUUGAUAUAGAUAUCAUUGAGGCUCAAAAUAAAAAGUUUUGCACAAAUUGCAAAAGAAAACAGAGGAAGAAAAUUCAGUUUUGAGGCACAUUUUCAGGCCAGAAAUUUACUUAUUUAACAAAAUAUUGUAUACAAAAGAAAUGACCAAUAUCAAAGAGUAACCUUUACUCUAUCUGAUGGUGCAAUAAUAUUUCAUUUAACUUGAGGUUAAAACAGGUAAAUUCUUAGAGAAAGAAAAUCUCACGAAUCACGAGAAUUUGCAAGGAGGAGGAUUCAGCCACGAGAUGAUUUGGAUGAAUCUGGCCUUUUUGCUCAUUAGCAUAGGGACCUGCGGUCUGACUGCCCAUGGUUCUUGAAAGCUUGGGGGGAGUCAAAUAUAUUGCUGUAAACAUGUGUGACCAAAUUAUUUCCAAACACCCCCUAAACCUGUUUUCUCUGUGUGCAAAAUAACCCCCUAAACAAGUUUUUCGAGGGCUUCAUUUACACAUUUAGACCCCUAAAUAAGUUGUUGCCAGAAUAUGACCCCCUUAACAAGUUUUGUACAAUCGGGAAGAACCCGAACACUUGUCAGAAAUGAGGACGAAAAAGCCCUGGAGAAAAAGCUUGGGGGAAAAAAAUACCAUAAAUACAUUUGACCCCGCGAUAAAAAAACAGUGUUUUUGAUACCCUUAACGAGUGCACGCGCGGCCUGCAUCCAAAACAGGAAAAAACACCCCUUUAAAUGUUUUUUUUUUUUUGGUCACGCAUGUAUGUGUACAGCAAUAUAUUUGACUGACAUUUUGUAUGCAAGUCCUUGUACAUGGUGACUGAAAAAAAAUCACCCUGAAUUUUAUCAUUUUAAUGAGCAAAAGGCUGUAGAGUUCCCUUAUAGAAAUUGACAUAUCUAUAUAUUCCAAUUUUAAUAUGUAACAGGUAUGUAUUGUCUCGGGCUCUCGGCAUACUGUGCUACUGUGUUUACAAUGUACAUAUAAGAAUUGAACUUAAAUUGUUAUUCUCUAAAAUAAGAACUGUGUUGUUUGUCCUAAGUGAUCAACAGUUUCCCUAGGGAAUAAUUACACUUUCAAGCAAAAGAAAUGAAGAAAAUUGUUGAAAUUUUAUGAUGAAAUUGUGAAUAUAUUUCCACCAGCAUCAUUUUUCAUUGCUGCCAUUUACAUUCUCAGUAGCAGACCUGACAAUGGGACUUCUAUUUGGACCAAUGAGAGUGACCCAAACAAAAUCUUCCCUCCAGGUCAAUGUCACAUUUGCCAUACCAGAGAAAAUUUUGGCUGCAAUGUUUCUAAUGUUUACACAAUGUUUAUAAAAAUUUGCAGAUUAUAAAUAUUGGAGUUCCCAUUUUUUUGAAAUUCCAGAGGAUGCCAUUUACGCACAAUAUAUAUGUACUAUUAUGUGGUGGAUAUAUAUCGUCAGACAAAUGACCUUAUACCAUUUUCAUAAGAAAGUACUUCAUCCUAUUCCAUAAAUUAUAGAAUUUAUACUACAUGAUAUAUGAGGGACCUGUUUGCACAUGACACCACAAAUAAAAAAACAUCUUUUUCUUUUUCUUCAACAAUAAUUUCUCUGUUUGCAUUAAGUAGUAAGCAUGGAAGGAACAACAAAACAUAAACUAGUUUGAAUGAGAUAGUUGUUUUAUUAUUAACGAUUCAUUGUACAUUUUCUUGCCCAAAGUUGCAUGCCUACAAUGUGCGAAUACAUUAUACAUUCAAACAAAUAAAUUAAGUGUUUUUCUUUUCCUUGCUACUACACUUAUUUACAGAUUACUGGUUUGGUUUUAAUUUGUGAAUGAUCAUCUUUACAAAUUAAUCCUAAUGAAAUGUUUGUUUUGUGAAAACCAUGACAUUAUGUUGUAACUAGUCAGUAAUCAAUCAAUAUAAAUAAUGUUCUGGGCCUACACAUAUAUCUAACAAUACACGAUGUUUGCAUUCUGACCAUUUGUAUUUUUGUUACAAUUCAUAACAUACAUGUAGCACUUCACUAAAGCCGCAGUCACACAGUCACGUUGAGUUAUGUCCGCCACGGAUAGAUACGGAUUAGUGGAUGCAGCCAGCUGCAGGAUCGUAAGUAGACGUAUAUAUAUAUAUACGUAACUACGUCUGUAGUGGGACACAGACUUACGGUGCCAGCCUGCGAAAUUUCGAAAAGUUUAAAAUUUUGCAGGGAGUCGCUGCGGAUGCUAACGCAAGUAACCAUAAAGAAAUGCAACUAUUCGUAUUAAAUGUACGUAACAAUCCGUACUUUGCAGGUUAGACGCAUCUGUGAAAAUGUUUACAUCGUGUCCAUUUGCGUCCACUGUAAGUAUUCCCAAUUACCCGCAAGUACUCGUAUCCAAACACUUGCGUCCGUAUGAAAUUGAAUUGUUUAUGGACAAGUACGGAUGCUGUGACAAUCGUGUCUGUUUACCUUGCUUCUUGGGGAAAUUUUCAAAUCUGUUCAUUUUAUUCACAUCCACUGAAAAAUGAACAAGAAUUCAUAUGAUUAUUUAUACGAACAAUAAAAGGGAAAAAAUCAAUACAAGAAAAAUAAAUAUUAUGACUUCAGGAAAAAGUUAAACCAACAUGCAGUGGAUGUAGGUGAUUGGCAAAGGUCAGGGACCUAUCCAGGUCAACCCCCUAAGUUCUGCACAUUAACAGUUGAUGGAGAGUCGACAAGAUAUGACUUAUAUUUCUGCUUAAAAUAAUAUGAUAUUAAACUGGUAGGCCUAUUUAGUUAGUCCCUAACUAUCAUAGUGAUAGAGAUGGACACGUUUCAAUUUAUGUUGUCCACAUUGUUCCAGAUGACACAUCCUUCGUAUUUAAUAACAUUUCUAUAAAAAAAUCAUACAUAUAUUACAGAGAUAAAAUUCAUUGAUAUUUCUUGUUGAAUACAUAUUUGUAUUACUAUUAAGAGGUUAAAUAUCCAUAUAGUAGGGUCCCUUUGGACGAAGAAAUAAAAAAACAAGAAAAUAGCCAUGUAAAUCAUAAAUAUUUAAAAUUUUUAAGCUUCCAAAACAAUGAGUCUGCAUGGGAAAUAUGUUGAAUUAGUGAUUAUUUUUUUGUCCAUUUUGGUAAAAAACAUUAUUUUUGUUAUAAAUAAGAUGUGCUUCCCCAUAUUAUAGUAAAAUAUGUUAGACAUAUCAUUAGCUUAUCUAAAUUAUUGCGAAUAUAUUUUUGACGAGAUGAAUUUCAAGUCUCCUCAUACACUACGUGAUAUUUUAUAUAUGUCAUUUAUAUGGUCUUCCCACAUAAGUUUAAAAUUGUAAAUCUCAACACCAAGGAAUGUUAAAGAAGUUUCCUUGUUUAUUAUUUUGUUAUGGAUAGGAAACCUAUAUCCCCAUUAUAAUUGUUUUCUUAAUUCAUCAAUAAUUAGUUGACAAUAAGAAAUGUACUUAGUGACUAUUCUUAUGCACGUUUUGGCAUUAAAAAUACUUUUUUGACAAGCCAAACAUUGGCUUUCCCAAACACCAUUUUUUCAAUACAAAAAUCUGCAUAUAUUUUGAGUAAAAUCUUCUUUUUCACCUUCUCUCUUUUAUGUAGAAAUUCAUAUUUUUUUAUUUUAGUUUCCUACUUUUUAACUUAAAUGUUAUUGAUUUGUGAUUAUUUGAAUUGAAAAUAAUUACUGCCUUGUUUUUAGUAAGGUCAGAAUCUUACGUAUGAUGGGUCAUUUCUAUGGAGGUAUAAAGUUAUUUUCUCAUUAACACUGAUUGGCAGGGAAUAUUCUGAGCCUUGUUCAUAAUUAUUAUUAACAAUCCGUAACCUUCCACACCUGUCCAUAAAUAUCCAAAACUGUUCAAAAGUAUCUGGAAAAACAAGUCGAAAGAACAAAUAACACAUCAAUUCAGAAGAUUUAUUCAGACGGCAGGUCCAAGUGAUAUUCAUGACUCGAGAUGUUUUGCAUACUUAAUGAGCUUGAUGCGGACCAAAACACCUCUUUUCAUUCGGUGCUGCUCUAAUUGUGCAUCGAAUUUCAUGAUUUUGGUAUCAUUGUAAAGAAGAAGAAUCAUUCUUUCAGGUCAUGUGUUUAAAUUUAUUCAAAGAUUUUGUAAUAUAGGUUAAAAUUUUGAUCUAAAGUGUGCUACGAAAUAAUUAUUUUCACCUGACAAAAGAUGCUAUUUUCACACUUUGUUUGUUUGAGCCCAAAUGAUUUUUAGAUCAUGAUAAAGCUGAAUAUGUAUGCUUUAAAAUGGUAUAGGUUUCAAAAUAAGAAUUGGUUUAAUCAGGUCAAGAUCACACUUUUCAUUGGCCAAGUACAUAAAGCAGCUUGAAAACAAGAAUACUGCACUCUGAUUGGUCAAAAUUGACUAUUUUUUUGACGCAGAGCACUGUGUGACUGUGGCAAAUUUAAUUUGACUACAUGUUAUAUUUACCUAUUCCUAACAUCUGUAUGUACAUGCAGUACUUCAAUGAAUAAAUGAAUAGUUGUCCUCAAGUAUUGAAUGAUAUUUCA